GUGAGGAAUAUUGGGCAAUGGGCGAAAGCCUGACCCAGCCACGCCGCGUGAGUGAUGAAGGCCUUCGGGUUGUAAAGCUCUGUGGGGAGGGAAGAAAAAGCGGGAGAGUAACUGCUCUCGUGUUGACGGUACCUCCUUAGCAAGCACCGGCUAACUCUGUGCCAGCAGCCGCGGUAAUACGGAGGGUGCAAACGUUGCUCGGAAUUACUGGGCGUAAAGCGCGUGUAGGCUGACAUGCAAGUCGGGUGUGAAAUCCCAGGGCUCAACCUUGGAACUGCACUCGAAACUGCACGUCUUGAGUACUGGAGAGGGAAGCGGAAUUCCGGGUGUAGAGGUGAAAUUCGUAGAUAUCCGGAGGAACACCAGUGGCGAAGGCGGCUUCCUGGACAGUAACUGACGCUGAGACGCGAAAGCGUGGGGAGCAAACAGGAUUAGAAACCCGAGUAGUCC
rnacentral:rRNA from 1 species